GAAUGCUAAAAAGUUUGGUAAAAGUUGAGCCAGCAUUCGCGGUUAUACAACAWAAUCAAAUGAACAUUAUUGGUUUUUAAAUAAUUAAUAUUUAAUAAUAUAUUAAUUAAAAUAUUUAAAGGUGAAAUAUUAAAUAUUUUGAGGGAUAUAAAUUUUGGUAUGAUUGUUAUGAAAUUAAAAAUAUAAACUAGGAUUAGAUACCCUAUUAUUUUUAUUGUAAAGUGAAUUAAGCUGGAGUAGUAAUAGUUAUGAUCUUUAAACUUAAAGAAUUUGGCGGUAUUAUAAUCUAUUUAGAGGAAUCUGUUAUGUAAUCGAUAAUCCACGUUGAACCUUACUUAUGUUAUAUUCUUGUAUACCGCUGUUUAGAAUAUAUUUUUAGAUUAUUUUCUGGAUAAUAGAAUUUAUUAAAAUUUCAAGUCAAGGUGCAGUAAUACGUAAGUUGAAUAAUGGAUUACAAUAAAUUUUAUUUAUCAUGAAUUGUUAUUGAAAUAUAAUAUUGAAGGUGGAUUUAAUUGUAAUUUUUUAAAUAUUGUAAAAAUGAUUUUAGCUCUAUAAUGUGUACACAUCGCCCGUCACUCUCGUUAUAAGACGAGAUAAGUCGUAACAGAGUAGGUGUAUCGGAAGAUGUACCUAGGAAGUAAAA
rnacentral:rRNA from 1 species